GCCAGACUCCUACGGGAGGCAGCAGUGAGGAAUAUUGGUCAAUGGGCUUACGCCUGAACCAGCCAAGUCGCGUGAGGGAAGACUGCCCUAUGGGUUGUAAACCUCUUUUGUCAGGGAGCAACGCCGGCUACGUGUAGCCGGACUGAGAGUACCUGAAGAAAAAGCAUCGGCUAACUCCGUGCCAGCAGCCGCGGUAAUACGGAGGAUGCGAGCGUUAUCCGGAUUUAUUGGGUUUAAAGGGUGCGUAGGCGGACGCUUAAGUCAGCGGUAAAAUUGCGGGGCUCAACCUCGUCGAGCCGUUGAAACUGGGUGCCUUGAGUGGGCGAGAAGUACGCGGAAUGCGUGGUGUAGCGGUGAAAUGCAUAGAUAUCACGCAGAACUCCGAUUGCGAAGGCAGCAUACCGGCGCUCAACUGACGCUCAUGCACGAAAGUGUGGGUAUCGAACAGGAUUAGAUACCCUCGUAC
rnacentral:rRNA from 1 species